rnacentral:rRNA from 1 species
AACGAACGCUGGCGGCAGGCCUCAAACAUGCAAGUCUAGGGGGUGUAGCAAUACAUCACCGGCGGACGGGUGCGUAACACGUGGGAAUGUACCUAGUGGUUCGGAACAACUCAGGGAAACUUGAGCUAAUACCGGAUGAGCCCGAAAGGGGAAAGAUUCAUCGCCAUUAGAUCAGCCCGCGUAGGAUUAGCUUGUUGGUGAGGUAACGGCUCACCAAGGCGACGAUCCUUAGCUGUUCUGAGAGGAAGAUCAGCCACACUGGGACUGAGACACGGCCCAGACUCCUACGGGAGGCAGCAGUUGGGAAUCUUGGACAAUGGGGGAAACCCUGAUCCAGCCAUGCCGCGUGAGUGAUGAAGGCCUUAGGGUUGUAAAGCUCUUUUAC